rnacentral:rRNA from 1 species
AUUGAACGCUGGCGGCAUGCCUUACACAUGCAAGUCGAACGGCAGCACGGGAGCAAUCCUGGUGGCGAGUGGCGAACGGGUGAGUAAUAUAUCGGAACGUGCCCAGUCGUGGGGAUAACGUAGCGAAAGCUACGCUAAUACCGCAUACGAUCUAUGGAUGAAAGCGGGGGAUCGCAAGACCUCGCGCGAUUGGAGCGGCCGAUAUCAGAUUAGGUAGUUGGUGAGGUAAAGGCUCACCAAGCCGACGAUCUGUAGCUGGUCUGAGAGGACGACCAGCCACACUGGGACUGAGACACGGCCCAGACUCCUACGGGAGGCAGCAGUGGGGAAUUUUGGACAAUGGGCGCAAGCCUGAUCCAGCAAUGCCGCGUGCAGGAUGAAGGCCUUCGGUUGUUAACG